AGUAGGUGAUGCCGGCCAAAUUUUACAAUCAGAGAUUCAAACUUGGCUGGUUUCGUCCAUUCAAAUACUGGUCUGACAUAGUUUCAUUCUCUUUACCCUCAAACUAUUCCCAUGUAUUCAACCCCAUCUAAAUCGGGACACAUGUACGGCGGGGGUAAGAAAAAAGCCCCUUGAUGGAUGAUUCAUGGAAUUGAGGAUGGCCAAGAUGCAUCCGUUCAACGAAAUGCGACAAAUUUAUAAUCACGCAACUAAAGUACCAAAUCGAACUCGAAAAGUCCGUGUUGAGGUCAUGCCGUGUUGACUGUUGUAUAUAUUAGAAGUGUCAAGAGGCCACUGAGAAGCCGCACUCAGGAAUUUCUCUUCAGUUCGUACCCGUACCUACCCGUACCCAUCCAGCCACCAUGGAAUCUCAAUCGAAUUUUGGAAAAGGGUGGAACACGAACGCAGACGUCCGAAGGUUGCACGAGCUAAAGCGAGAGAAGGACAUCGUCGAGGAGGAACAUCGUCGAGCGACAGAGAAAGACAAGAAAUUGGCUGAAAUGAUUGCAAAGUUAGAAGAAGAGAUUAGCCGCAAAGAGUCAUUGGACGGACAGGUCAUUACUUUAACGGAGAAUUUGAGCAUCUCUGGGGAUGCACCGAUGCAGAUGGUGCAAAAAAUAUGUCAAUUGGGAGUGGACGCUCAAAAAUAGGUAGAAAAUCCAGAGGAUGUUUGGCUAAAACAAUUUGAAAAGGACUUGUUUCAAGCCAUACGCGAGAUAGUCCUGCAUUUUGAUCAAUUUGACAUAGAGUAAACGUCCUCAAGACUUUUUAGCCUGAUUUACAAGCGAACUUCUUGUUGGUUUUGAAUUUGAACAUGCCGUGACCUACCUCUCCUUUAAUGAAAAAUAAAUGCGAACUUUUUUCUCUCUAUAAAA